rnacentral:misc_RNA from 1 species
GAAAUGCGAGAAGUAGUGUGAAUUGCAGAAUUCAGUGAAUCAUCGAAUCUUUGAACGCACAUUGCGCCCCUUGGUAUUCCAUGGGGCAUGCCUGUUCGAGCGUCAUUUGUACCCUCAAGCUCUGCUUGGUGUUGGGUGUUUGUCCCCGUCUCCGCGCGUGGACUCGCCCCAAAGUGAUUGGCAGCCGGCGUACUGGUCCCGGAGCGCAGCACAUGUCGCGCAAACGAGUGCCUUGGUACGGCGGCGUCCAUAAGCCCCUCUCUCACGCUCUUGACCUCGGAUCAGGUAGGGAUACCCGCUGAACUUAAGC